rnacentral:ribozyme from 1 species
GGGGAAGGAACGGUGAUGGUUACUACUAUUCUAUUUAAUUCUCCUUUUUUUCAUUUUUUUUUUUUUUUA